GGGUCGCAGCAGAGAGCGUUGGGCCAGCUGUCGAAACGAGCUGGGUCGUACUGUACUGACUGACGCCGGCGUUUAGAAAGGAAAUUGAGGGUCCGACGAUCGGAAGACAGCAAGAGAAGUGGGCUGAUGGUGCGCUCGUCAAAGUACAGCUGAUCUGGAACUGGAAAGGAUCAUAAAUAGGGCUACAAUGUUCCAUAUGGAUCAGUGGUUUGUCUGGCUCAAGACAAGGCUUAUGACCAGAAGAGUGCUAUCACCACAGUCAUGCAUGGAGCAUGGCGUCUGUCGAGUCUGUGAGCGUGUGCACCAGGCUGGUGCGGGCAUGUGUGAGGGUGUUGAGAGCCUGGCUCCAGUGUGCCUGCUGUGUAAGGAGGCACUGCUCUAUCCGUUCUUCCUCCCGCUGCACGGCCUCCAGCAGACGCUGCUCUUCCUCCUCCAGAGCCUCACGUAUAGUGUUUACCUGAGCCACGAUGCGUUCACGGGCACUACUCGCCUCCGCCUACGGAACACAAGACUUAGUAUUUACAACCCCAAAUUAGAAAAGGUUGGGACAGUAUGGAAAAUGCAGAUAAAAUAAAAGUGCAGUGUUCCUUAUAUUUA